rnacentral:rRNA from 1 species
UACGGAGGGUGCGAGCGUUGUCCGGAAUCACUGGGCGUAAAGGGCGCGUAGGUGGCGCGGGAAGUCAACGGUGAAAGUUCGGGGCUCAACCCUGAAUCGGCCGUCGAUACUCCCGGGCUCGAAGCACUGUAGAGGCAGAUGGAAUUCCGGGUGUAGCGGUGGAAUGCGUAGAGAAUCCGGAAGAACACCGGUGGCGAAGGCGGUCUGCUGGGCAGUUGCUGACACUGAUGCGCGACAGCGUGGGGAGCAAACAGGAUUAGAGUACCCUA